rnacentral:rRNA from 1 species
UUGAACGCUGGCGGCAUGCCUAACACAUGCAAGUCGAACGGCAGCACGGUGUGUAGCAAUACACAUGGGUGGCGAGUGGCGGACGGGUGAGUAAUACGUAGGGAUCUGCCUUGAAGAGGGGGACAACCCGGGGAAACUCGGGCUAAUACCGCAUACUACUCUGAGGAGGAAAGCUUGGGCAACCAGGCACUUUGAGAGGAACCUACGGCCGAUUAGCUAGUUGGUAAGGUAACUGCUUACCAAGGCGACGAUCGGUAGCUGGUCUGAGAGGAUGACCAGCCACACUGGGACUGAGACACGGCCCAGACUCCUACGGGAGGCAGCAGUGGGGAAUAUUGGACAAUGGGGGCAACCCUGAUCCAGCGAUGCCGCGUGUGUGAAGAAGGCCUUCGGGUUGUAAAGCACCUUAGUUGGGGAAGAAGUUUUGCGGGUGAAUAGCCCGUGAAGUUGACGGUACCCAAAGAAUAAGCACCGGCUAACUCUGUGCCAGCAGCCGCGGUAAUACAGAGGGUGCAAGCGUUAAUCGGAGUUACUGGGCGUAAAGGGCGCGUAGGCGGUUUAGUAAGUGAGAUGUGAAAUCCCUGGGCUUAACCUAGGAAUGGCAUCUUAGACUGCUGGGCUAGAGUACAGUAGAGGGUGGUGGAAUUUCCGGUGUAGCGGUGAAAUGCGUAGAGAUCGGAAGGAACAUCAGUGGCGAAGGCGGCCACCUGGACUGACACUGACGCUGAGGCGCGAGAGCGUGGGGAGCAAACAGGAUUAGAUACCCUGGUAGUCCACGCUGUAAACGAUGAGAACUGGAUGUUGGUGGGCGCAAGCCCAUUAGUAUCGAAGCUAACGCGAUAAGUUCUCCGCCUGGGGAGCACGGUCGCAAGAUUAAAACUCAAAGGAAUUGACGGGGGACCCGCACAAGCGGUGGAUGAUGUGGAUUAAUUCGAUGCAACGCGAAGCAACCUUACCUACCCUUGACAUGUGCCGAAGCCCUGAGAGGAUGGGUGUGCCUGAAAGGGAACGUCAGAGACAGGUGCUGCAUGGCUGUCGUCAGCUCGUGUCGUGAGAUGUUGGGUUAAGUCCCGCAACGAGCGCAACCCUUGUCCCUAGUUGCUACGCAAAGUGGGCACUCUAAGGGAGACUGCCUGGUGACAGAACCGGAGGAAGGUGGGGAUGACGUCAAGUCCUCAUGGCCUUAUGGGUAGGGCUUACACACGUGCUACAAUGGCCGGUACAGAGGGUUAGCCAACCUGCGAAGCGGGCGCCAAUCCCGCAGAAAUACCGUCUUAGUCCGGAUUGCAGUCUGCAACUCGACUUCAUGAAGUCGGAAUCGCUAGUAAUCGCGGAAUCAGCACGUCCGCGGUGAAUACGUUCCCGGGUCCUUGUACACACCGCCCGUCACAGCCAUGGGAGCUGGGUUGCACCAGAAGUAGGUAGGCUAACCGCAAGGGAGCCGCUACCACGGUGCGCUUCGUGACUGGGGUG